AAUUUUUAAUUUUUCCACAUUUGAUGAAAGCUACACAUCUACAAAUGCAAACAGCUCAAGACAGAAACAAAGAACACCACGCAAAGACAAAUUAAACCAAAACUGCUGAAAGCCAGUGACAAAGAAAAAAAAAUCUUGAAAGCAGCCAGAGGUGGAGAAAAGACCUUUCUGCAAAGGGCAUAAUACAGCAGACACAGCAUCUGAAAUUACCAAACUGGCAGACACCAAACGCCCAUCUCUAAAGCCCUGCAAGAAAAACAAACAAAAAAACCCACGUCAACCUGAAAUUCUAUAUCCAGCUGGAAAAUCCUAUACAAAUGAAGGCCAAAUGAAAACAUCCUCAGAUAAUCAAAAACUGACCUGCUCUUAAAAAAAAAAGAAAGAAAGAAAAAGUCUAGCCAUGAAAUGUACUGACUUAAGACUGAAGGAUACACACAGAGCCGUGGGGAGCAGUGGAGGUGAUAACGGCCAGUAAAGAUGAAAACCCCUCUUUUUAACUGAAAUUUUUCUUUAAAAUUAAACACACAUGUGGAGGUUUGUGACAUAGCUAGAAAUCGAAUAUCUGGGAUCGUAGGACAGUACCCAUAAAAGAACAGGAGGAGGGGCAAGUUUGCUGUGCCCUGGGGGACGUGGUUCGUUACCACUUGAGAGCAGAGACGGGUGAAUGAACACAUUCAAUGAAAUUUAUUGUUGGGAGUACAUAUUGCUGGGAGUUCCCAGGUGGUCGGGUGGUUAGGACUCCGCGCUUUCAUCACUGCAGCCCAGGUUCAAUCCCUGGUCUGGGAACUGAGAUCCCACAUCAAGCCGCUGCACGCCCUGGACAAAGGGAGGAAGGAAGGGAGGCCAAUAUUGUAAACCCUAAAGUAAUCAUUAAAUGUUACAAAUAAAUAAAUGUCACAGUCAGAAAGUCCAUAAUGCAGGUGAAAAUGGAACCAUAAAAAAGUAUUAAUCCAAAGAAAGUAGGAAAACAGAGGGGGGAAAAAAGAAAAGAUCAGUGGGACAAAUCAGAAACAAAUAGGAACGUGGUAGGUUUCAGGCCAAUAUCAGGAGACGUCUCUUCCUUGUCCCUCUACGUGGAAAAGAAAGAAUCGAUGACGUUGUGUCUGUAGCAGUGGACUUUAAAUGUAAAGACACAGGAGAAAGAGAUUUUACAAAGGAUGGGAAGUGUGUGUCGAGCAGAGCACGAAGGGUAAGAGAGACAGAUAUUACCAAGGGUAAAGGGAGACUCCACUUCCCACCGAACUGGCUCACUGAGAAGGCGUCACGUCGGCAAAUCUAGUAACAGAGCUUUCACGCAUCUGAGGCAAAACUCAGGAAAGUGGAGGGAGACGUCGAAGCGCGGUCACGCCGGGGUUUCAACUCCCUUCUCACAACAGAUCAUCCGCAAAAUUUAAACAGACGACUUAAGGACGUUAGCAAAAUCAGCAAGACUGGUGACACCUAACGCUCCCCCAGAGACCACAGAACAUGCUUUCUGUUCUGAGCUCCCGGGCGGCGCAGCCGUUAAGGACCCGGCAUUGUCACUGUGGUGGCUCUCAGGUUGCAGCGGUGGCUCGGGUUCGAUCCCUGCCCUGCGAGUUUCUGCAUGGUGCAGCCCCCCCCCCAAAAAAACACACUCUGUUCAAAUACACUUAAAACGACCAUAAAGUAAGUCUCAACAUGUUUAAAAUAAUUGAAAAUCAUAUUAAAACAUAAAUGUUAUAAACAUAGAAUUAAAUUAGAAACUAGUAACAGAAAAGGGUUUUCUUGCUAACAGCAUUAUUUUGUUGAUAUUUUUCUUUUAUUAUUAUUAAAGUAUAGCUGAUUUUAUAAUGUUUGUCAAGUUCUGUUGUACUACAAAUGACCUGAUCCCAUGCAAAAAGAUGUUUUGAAAAUCCCCAAACAUUUAAAGACACAUCCAAAUAAUCCCUGGGUCAAAAUCCCCAGGCAAAUGAGAAAAUAAUUUAUGCUCAUAAAAAUAAACAGGAAAUUCCCAAAAUGUGUGGGAUACCACUAACGUGGCAAAUAAAGGAAAAUUAAGAGCUUUAAAUGUUUAUGUUGCAUGAUUAGAAAGGUCUAAAAUUGAUAAAGCUACUUUGCACUUUAAGAAGCUAGAAGAAAAAAGGGAUAUAAGAUGCAAAGUCGCUAAAAGGAAGGAAACGAUAAACUUGAUAGAAAUAAAGAAGAACAAAUAGAGAAUACCAAUGAAACCAAAAUCUGGUUCUUAGAAAUAAGAACUGUGAGACGGAAGACGUAAGUUUGCCAUCAGGAAGGAAAGAUGUGGCAUAUCAGAGAUCUCACAUCAUUAAAAAGAUAAUACAAAAACGUUACGGAAACAAUUAUGCCCAUGAGGUCAACCUCUUUGUAUGAAAAAGACAGUUCCUUGAAAGACUCAGAUUACCAAAACUGACUCAAAAAGAAAUGGAAAAUCUGAAUGGCUCAUAGCUACUGAAGAAAUUAAAUUCUAGCCACCAAAACAACUCCCGGCUCAGAUAGCUUCACUGACGAAAUAUACAACCCAUUAGAAAAAGGGAAAACCAGUUCUACGCAAUGACGGUCAGGAUAUGGUGGAAGAGGGAAUACUUUUACCAUGACCCACGCCUGUAAAACAUCCCAAGAGAAGGAAACUGCUAACCAACGUUUCCGUGUACGUAUAUGCAAAAUCUUUAAGAAAAUCUUAGCAAAUCCAAUCCACCAAACUAUAAAAGUCGGUAUAUUCCAGAAAUGCAAGGUUAUUUUAGCAUUCAAAAGCGUCAGACAAUUCAACACACUAACAGAAUGACGGAGAAAAACAGUAUACUUUUCUCGGUAGAUACAGAAAAGCAUCUAACACAAUUUCACGUCCACUCGUGAAACGGUUCUCUGCAAACUAGGAAUAGAGAAGCACUUCCUCAAAAUGAUAAAAGCCCCUACCAAAAACCCAUGGCUACCAUAACACUUAAUAAUGAAAAAACAAACACUUUCCCCUUAAGAAUGAGAACGGUACAAGGGUGUCUGUUUUCAUCAUCUCCGUUCAUCAUUGUACUGGAGGUCUAGCCAGUGCCACGAGACACGAAAUAGGAAUAGGAAGCAUCCAGAUGAGAAAAGAAAAAGCAAAAUGUUUGUAUUCCUAGACAACAGGCUUGUAUCUGAUAGGAUUAACUGAAAUGAAUCCGUGAGUUACGCCUAAGUGCUAAAACUCUGAAAGUUCUAGAAAAGGAUCUUGGUAACCUUGAGACAGCAAAGAUUGCUUAGAUAUGACCCCAAAGCACAAACAUCAAAGGAGCUAUUGAUAAAUUGGGCUUCAUAAACUCCAAAACGUCUACUCCUCAAAAACAUCCCAGAGAAAAUGAAAAGGCAAGCCACAGACUAGCAGGUGAUAUUGGCAACCACACAUCUUAACAAAGAACUAGCACCAGAACAUAGAAAGAACUACAACUCAAUUAUAAGAAGACAAGUAAAAAUGGAAGAAACAGAUCUGAAAGGACCUUUCAUAGAAGAAGAUAAAAAAAAUAGUCAAUAUGAACACAAACAAAGGCUUAACAUUACCAGCCAUCAAGAAACACAAAUUAAAACC
rnacentral:tRNA from 1 species